UUUCCAUGAUGAGUCAAAUUAGCUCACUAUGACCUUACACAAUGAAAU
ensembl:snoRNA SNORD29 Small nucleolar RNA SNORD29